AUUGAACGCUGGCGGCAUGCUUUACACAUGCAAGUCGAACGGUAACAGGGUGCUUGCACCGCUGACGAGUGGCGAACGGGUGAGUAAUGCGUCGGAACGUGCCGAGUAGUGGGGGAUAACGCAGCGAAAGUUGUGCUAAUACCGCAUACGUACUGAGGUAGAAAGUGGGGGACCUUCGGGCCUCACGCUAUUCGAGCGGCCGACGUCUGAUUAGCUAGUAGGUGAGGUAAAGGCUCACCUAGGCGACGAUCAGUAGCGGGUCUGAGAGGAUGAUCAGCCACACUGGGACUGAGACACGGCCCAGACUCCUACGGGAGGCAGCAGUGGGGAAUAUUGGACAAUGGGCGAAAGCCUGAUCCAGCCAUGCCGCGUGUGUGAAGAAGGUCUUCGGAUUGUAAAGCACUUUAAGUUGGGAGGAAGGGUUGCAGAUUAAUACUCCGCAAUUUUGAUGUUACCGACAGAAUAAGCACCGGCUAACUCUGUGCCAGCCGCCGCAGUAACAC
rnacentral:rRNA from 1 species